rnacentral:rRNA from 1 species
UAUUGCACAAUGGGGGAAACCCUGAUGCAGCGACGCCGCGUGAGUGAAGCAGUAUUUCGGUAUGUAAAGCUCUAUCAGCAGGGAAGAUAAUGACGGUACCUGACUAAGAAGCCCCGGCUAACUACGUGCCAGCAGCCGCGGUAAUACGUAGGGGGCAAGCGUUAUCCGGAUUUACUGGGUGUAAAGGGAGCGUAGGUGGCAGGGCAAGUCAGAUGUGAAAACCCGGGGCUCAACCCCGGAACUGCUUUGGAAACUGUGCAGCUAGAGUGCAGGAGAGGUAAGUGGAAUUCCUAGUGUAGCGGUGAAAUGCGUAGAUAUUAGGAGGAACACCAGUGGCGAAGGCGGCUUACUGGACUGUAACUGACGUUGAGGCUCGAAAGCGUGGGGAGCAAACAGG